UGGGGAAUUUUGCACAAUGGGGGAAACCCUGAUGCAGCGACGCCGCGUGAUUUAGAAGGCCUUCGGGUUGUAAAAAUCUUUUCUAUGGGAAGAAAAUGACAGUACCAUAGGAAUAAGGACCGGCUAAUUACGUGCCAGCAGCCGCGGUAAUACGUAAGGUCCGAGCGUUGUCCGGAAUCAUUGGGCGUAAAGGGUACGUAGGCGGGUAAGCAAGUUAGAAGUGAAAUCCUGUAGCUCAACUACAGUAAGCUUUUAAAACUGCUCAUCUUGAGAUAUGGAAGGGAAAGUGGAAUUCCUAGUGUAGCGGUGAAAUACGUAGAUAUUAGGAGGAAUACCAGUAGCGAAGGCGACUUUCUGGACACAAACUGACGCUGAGGUACGAAAGCGUGGGGAGCAAACAGG
rnacentral:rRNA from 1 species